rnacentral:rRNA from 1 species
UACGUAGGCAGCAAGCGUUGUUCGGAGUUACUGGGCGUAAAGAGUGCGUAGGUGGUGCCAUAAGUCUGUUGUGAAAUCUCCCGGCUUAACUGGGAGGGUGCGGUGGAAACUGGGGUGCUUGAGUGUGGGAGAGGUAAGCGGAAUUCCUGGUGUAGCGGUGAAAUGCGUAGAUAUCAGGAGGAACACCGGUGGUGUAGACGGCUUACUGGACCACGACUGACACUGAGGCACGAAAGCGUGGGUAGCAAACAGG